rnacentral:rRNA from 1 species
GUUGGUGUUUUAAGCGGCAGGGGUACACCUGAUCCCAUUCCGAACUCAGUAGUUAAGCCUGCCAGCGCUGAUGGUACUUGGGCAUUACGCCCCGGGAGAGUAAGCCAACGCCAACG